rnacentral:lncRNA from 1 species
GCGCCCGCUCGCGCCGGGAGGGGCCCUCGCGCCCCGCGCCCACAGGUGCACGCGCCCUUGGCGCCGCCUGCACCCCACGCGCCCCCUCCGCUCCCCGGCCGACGGCCCACCUGGGCUUCGUGAACAGUGGGAGGGAGAGUCUGGGGCCAGGAGAGGGACGGUGCAGGAUCAGGGAAAGGUGGAAAUCAGAAGUACAUGCAAUAGGAAUUAACUUGAAUAUGAUGCAUAAAGUUUGAAGCAAAGAAAGAUCUGCUGAGCAUGCCUGAGCUGAGAAAUGAGGGAAGGCAGACAUAUGUAUGAGCGCCUAUGCAGAGAGAUGGACUAAACCGGGAAGAUCCAC